CCUUGCGUCCUGCCUGAGCACACUUUGGUUAGUUGGUAGUUGCCAUGCGGGACACCGGGUUCGUGUGUUGACGUCAUUCUAUCUCCCAACAGACGAGUUAAUAUUGAUAACUAGAAGUUGAAUGUCGGGAUGAAGGGACAUGAACUCGAAGCGAGGCAAAUAAUUACAACGAUAGAUGCGUGUUUUGCAAAUUAUACCACAUUUUUGCCAAUAUUGAAUCUAUCAACGACUUUGAAAUUGUACAUUCUAAUUAAAGAUAUGCUAUUAAUAAAACUAUGACUGCGAACCAAUGAAACAAUGUGUACAAAAAAGGGUGACCAGUUAAAGAUCAUUCUCAAAAAGUUUUUAACAAAAACCUAAAAUAAAUAGAAGUGAAUUUGAACCAUCUUUAAUUUCUGAAGUAAGAUUAUACAAGGAAAAUGUCAAUAAACUGGAAAUUACUUUGUUAUUAUAUUUUGCCAAUAUCUACGGUUUUUAUAAUUUUAUUUGUGGAGUAAAUACUUUCUCACAAAAUUAUAUUUAUGUUAAAAGUGAAAUAGAGAUAAAAAUGUAACAUAAUGUCAUUGUGUAUAAGUUAUUUCGAAUAAAUUAAAAAAUGUGUUUCAAAUA